UGAACCUGCGGAAGGAUCAUUACCGUUGCAUACAACAACAACAACAAAAAAUCCCUCUGCGAGGAGGGAAGAUACACUGUGAACCUUAACAACCAUUAGGGGUAGAUGCGCCGGCUUGCAUCUUUAAAUGGAAGGAGGGCGACGUUCGCAGGACUUCUCCGGCUCGCUGCCGAAGAGUCGCAGUGGUUCUCGAGCCACUACUUGCUGCUCUGGGUUGGCCAGACGCGGUCCUGCGCCGCGUGGACGGCCUUCCUGCCCCGUUUGUGUUUUUCUCUACACACGUUAUCGUCUCGACUGAAACUUUUGCGAGGAAAGAAAAACGAAGACAACUUUUAACGGUGGAUCUCUUGGCUCGUGCAUCGAUGAAGAACGCAGCCAGGUGCGAUAAGUAGUGUGAAUUGCAGAAUUCAGUGAAUCAUCGAAUCUUUGAACGCAAAUGGCGCUCUUGGGUUCUCCCAGGAGCAUGUCUGUCUGAGUGUCGGUAUCCAACUCAUCGCGCGCCACCGUCGUCCGGUGGGUCUGUGCGGCGUUGAGGGCAUCUCGGUCUCAUCCCCUUCCUUCCUUCAGAAGAGGGAGACCGCGUCCCUUGAAGUCGAAAGAGAUUCGGUUGCGUUCGCUCGUGCAUCGCAAUACCGGAGGCCAAAAUCGUUUUCGUCCUCUGGUUUCUUUGCAGGAGGCUCGCAAGCAGGCCGAGUCGCCGAGGCGUUACUCGCACCCAAUCUUGACCUCAGAUCAGGCAAGGCUACCCGCUGAAUUUAAGCAUAUCAAUAAGCGGAGG
rnacentral:rRNA from 1 species